UGUUGACAUAAGGAAGGCAAAAUAGUAAUUUUGUACCUUUUGACAAAAUGACAACCAUAUUCCUUAUUUUCCUAUUUUACCCUCUUUUUUUUUGAGAUAAUGGCAAUCAUAUUUUUCAAUUUUACUCUCACUUUUGAUACACAAUAUUUACAUAAGGAAGACAAAACAAUAAUUAUGUAAUAUUAAAAAAAAUACACUUAUUAAGAGAAAUUGUUCACAUACACACACAACGUGUGUGCUCUCUGCUAGUAUAUAUUUAUAAAAACUGCACAAUAAAUUUCUGGAAUGCCAAUAACAACAACCUAUACAAUAUUAAUGCUCACACUAAUGUAUUAUAGUAGAAUGUAAUAUGAGUUAUGUAUUUAAACAAAGGAUUAUUAAGGAAAACUAAAGAAAAUUGUUUUAAAACUUUGAAUUUUAACCAAAAACUAUCUAAUAACUUUAUUUAAUAAUAAUGACAAAAGAAAGAAAAUAAAAAAUGACCAACAAAAAAAAAACCUAACCCAAAGCGCACGCCAACCAAUUCAAGUCUGUUUUAUUUUAUUCAUUUGAAAAAUUAAUGAGUCAGACGAAGCUGACCAUUAGUUUUUGCAGUGCACUCUGUUUACCACUAUAUUUCUUUUUCCCUUACUGAAACCAUAUGUCACUGUUUGAACCCAAAAUUACACCAUCGGCCCGAGUAAUCGAGACCGUUAAGUAAGCAUACCUCCA
rnacentral:lncRNA from 1 species